CUGUCUAUCUAAAUAAGUAAAUAAACUUUAAAAAGAAAAAGACUCUAAAUCUUAUUUAAACCUUCUGAUUUAGCUGGCUUCUUCUGAUAGCACUCCAGCAAGGAAGAGGUGCAGUUGGGAAUGCUACCUCAUUAUUCUCAGGUGGGGGUAGGAGUUCUCUAUUUACAGCUCUGUGGCUCUCCUUGUUAUUGCUAGGCAGGGGUAUGUGUUCUGGCUUCCUGCUAGACCUCCACUGAAAUCUCCAUGGCUGGGGUGAGGAGCAGUGCCCUAUUACUGCUCUCCAUGUGACUUCUGUUGACACCAAGGUGGGGUGGAGAAAGUGACCUUGUAGCCAUUGUCCCUGUGCAAUGGUGAAGUUCUUGUAUUUCCACUAGGUCUCCCAUGACACCACCGUAACGGAAAUGGGAAAAACAUCACAUUACUGCGGGAUGGAAGUCCAGGCUCCCCACAUGAUUCAUACGGUCAUUGUGGAGCACGUCAUUUCCUAAUGUGAAGAAACUGAGGCGGAAGUAAUUAAGUGACUUGACCAAGUUCACACAUUAAAAUUUCUUGAAAAGGCCGAGGUCAAGACCAGGCUCUGAUGAAGUCGAUGACUCUCACAGCAGUAAACAAGACUCCUUUGAGAAUUGCUGGCACAUAUCAAUUCCUGUUGAUGCUGAGGGCAAUGAGUCAUGACGACGCAUGGUGCACCUUCGGCAGAGCCGCCUGGCCAGGUAUGUUACUGAGUCCAGAGAACCAAACGCUCUGUCCUUGGAGACAAAGUUUUCCUUGACAAAGACAUUUUUUCACCAUUUGGCAAAAGAUGGUGGCUUUUCAAGUUGCCAAAAGGGGAUCCGAAAAAUUGGAAUACUUCUUGAGUGGUACCGGUGUGCAAAUAAAGAAUGACAGAGCUGGUUGAAAGGAGAGGCGUCAGCAGUUUCAUCCAGUUGUUUGCCUAUUGAAGGAAAGCAGUUGAGGAGCCGGUUUACGGACUUGUUUCCAGAUAUUAGAAGAAACAUCAGUGAUUCUAAAGGGGAUCCUGCCUUUUGAAAUUGGCAUGUCUUCAGUUUUCGUCCUUUGCCCCAAGCAAUAAACCAUUUCAAAUAUUUCCAGGGUACAUGGCCUCAUUCAGUUUUCUACAAUUUUGUGUGUUUUUGCUUGGGAUAAAAAACCAGGGAUGUUUUAAGGUUGCCCCAAGACAUGAUGUGCAAGUCCAAUUUUGUUAAAGUUUUGGCCCUUUAAAAUGAAGCAUUUUCUUAUGAAACAAUUUAUCCAAGUCCAAGCAUUUUCCUUUAAAAAUUACUUUAAUUUAAUUUUAUUUAUUUAUUUUUUAACGUUUAUUUUAGAGACAGAGAUACAC